rnacentral:lncRNA from 1 species
UUAGAAAUAAUAAUUCUAUUAAGAAAACAUUUGGAUCGUUAGUUUCAAUUGUUUUAAAAUGGACCACCUAUUUGCCUCCAUCUUUAUACCUCUGUAGCCGAAUAAAUCGCCAUUAAAAGCCUUGCCGCUUGGUUUUUUGAUUUCCGCUCUCAUAUAUUCAUGUGUUUAUGAACUCAUAUUUUUGCACUCUUGGGAGUGUGGUUCUAAUUGAGUGAAAACAAGCAUUAGAGUAAUGGGUGUCACAUCCAUAGGUGAAAGAUGUUGUGCGAGGAAGGCUCUAUGGAUAAUUGAUCCCAUAAGUUACUUUUAUCUUAGAUCAUAAAGAUGGAUUUGAUCUUGAUCCCUGAUGCCUUAGAUCAAUAGCAUAUAAGAGGCUUUUAUCCAAGCCACUCAUUCAUAUCUUAUCACCAGUAUCAAUGGAGGAGCUUUUGACACCCUUCAC